AGGGGUGCACAUAGCCUGGCACAAGCGUCGUGGUGACGUCACCGCCACUUGGCGAAUGGCGGUUGUUGUUAUAUGCCAGCGUCAUGACGUCACCGCAGCAUUCACGGCCUCGACGACCCGCCCCCUCAACCCAAUCAGGGCGUGGUGCCCGAGCGUGACGUCAUGUCACCCCCCCCCCCCGGCCAUCUUAAAGAGUUUUUUUUAAUAAUCUGGAGCGGGGAGUUGUCGCCUCGGGGGUUGGAGAUUUUGUUUAAAAAAAUUAUUUUCCUUUUUUCUCGCGAUCUUCUACAUCAUCAUCAUAAUCAUCGUCGUAGUCUCCACCACCUACCUACCUACCUUUAAUUGACUCGUUAAUUAGCAUCGUUCGGAUUAUUCCUCGUAAAAAAUUUUUUACGUACAGAACAGCCCAAACUAAUCCGCGGUUUUUUUUAAGUUUGUUUAAACGCACCAACAACAACAACAAAAUUAACCUUCGUUGGUUAGGGAUUUUGUUUUUUCGCGUGUCAAAGGAAUUUUUUUUGUUUGUUUGAGGGGGGGGGUGUUUGAGGAGCAGUAGGGGUGGAGGCGGCGAACGAUUUCUCGCUUAGGAAUAAUUAUUUUUUUUGUUCAACGUUGCUCUUAAAUUAUUCGUUCACUUCCUAAGCUAAUCGAAGUCUUCAUCGUCUUCUGCUUCUUCACGUUCCACUCGGCUUAGCAGUCCUCUCUGAGAGGCCAUCUGUUGGGAGCUGAAGACAAAUCAA